rnacentral:rRNA from 1 species
ACACUCCUGCGGGAGGCAGCAGUGGGGAAUAUUGGACAAUGGGCGAAAGCCUGAUCCAGCAAUGCCGCGUGAGUGAUGAAGGCCUUAGGGUUGUAAAGCUCUUUUACCCGGGAUGAUAAUGACAGUACCGGGAGAAUAAGCCCCGGCUAACUCCGUGCCAGCAGCCGCGGUAAUACGGAGGGGGCUAGCGUUGUUCGGAAUUACUGGGCGUAAAGCGCGCGUAGGCGGCUUUGUAAGUUAGAGGUGAAAGCCCGGAGCUCAACUUCGGAAUUGCCUUUAAGACUGCAUCGCUAGAAUCGUGGAGAGGUGAGUGGAAUUCCGAGUGUAGAGGUGAAAUUCGUAGAUAUUCGGAAGAACACCAGUGGCGAAGGCGACUCACUGGACACGUAUUGACGCUGAGGUGCGAAAGCGUGGGGAGCAAACAGGAUUAGAAACCCCAGUAGUCC